UCGCUCUUGGCUGUGCCGGACCAAAGUUCAUGGUUGAAUUUGUUACAGCCGGCUGUCGAUUCGGACUUAUUCUUGACAGUGUUCUCCGUCCAUGCUCUAUUUAUAGAUUUCAUAUAUCAAGAACAAUUGAUUGCGAUACAAUUAUGAAAAGAGUUAUCAUUUUUGUGAAUGGGACCGAUGUUAAUGGCAAGGUGUUUGUGGUGACUCAUUCAUUGGACGAAUUAUUGACGGCGGCUAGUGCAAAAUUCGAAAUAACCGCGAAGAGAAUUUUCACGCCACAAGGUGGAGAAAUUGAUGAUAUUAAGCUGAUGAGAGAUGAUGAUAUUUUGUAUGUUUCAUGCGGUGAGGAUUUUAUACACAAGGAUAAAAUACGUAAUCAUAAUCAGCUAAAUAGGAAUUCAGAAUGGAUCACAUUGAAUGUCGGUGGGAAAUAUUUUACCACAACUAGGGAUACUUUAACAAAAAAGGAACCUAUGAGCAUGUUAGCAAGAAUGUUUACAGAGCCUGAAGAUGCAGAACAUGCGAUGCAGCCAAGCAGGCGAGAUCAUCAGGGAGCAUAUUUAAUAGACAGAAGCCCAACGUAUUUUGAACCAUUAUUAAAUUAUUUGCGGCAUGGUCAGGUGAUACUUGACUCUAAUGUUAAUGUAGCUGGUGUACUGGCGGAGGCACGUUUUUACGGUAUUGAGGGCGCCAUUCGAAUUCUCACUACAAUGAUGGAAAAGGAGGAACUGCAGAAGGACGGUCUUAUAUCUCUAACUCGCAAGGAUGUACUUAAAGCGAUCAUGUCGACGCCGACUAGCGCGGAACUCAGGUUCCAGGGCGUCGACUUCGUAGGAGCCGAUCUUUCGAAGCUAGAUCUCAGGAAUAUUAAUUUUAAGUACGCUAUCAUGCAUCAUUGCAGUCUGGUGGGCGCUAAUCUGUCAGGAUGUUGUUUCGAGCGCGCCGAUUUAUCUCACGCCAAUCUGCAGGGCGCGCAGCUCGUGUGCGUCAAGAUGUUGUGCGCGAAUUUAGCCGCGGCCAAUUUACACUCGUGCAAUUUCGAGGACCCCGGCGGUCUGUCGGCGAAUAUGGAGGGUGUAAAUCUGAAGGGUGCUAAUCUCGAAGGCAGCAACAUGGCAGCCGUAAAUCUUCGAGUAGCCACGUUAAAAAAUGCUAAUCUUAGAAAUUGCGUUUUGAGAUCCGCUGUUUUGGCCGGCGCUGAUUUAGAGUUCUGCGACUUGUCCGGCUCUGAUUUGCAGGAUGCGAAUCUACGCGGCGCGAAUCUGAAGGAUGCCACUUUCGAGCUGAUGUUAACGCCACUACACAUGUCCCAAACAAUACGAUAACAAUGAAUGUCAAGCUGCAUACAUCAUUGCAGCUCAAGUCUUGUAACAAUGAUGUUUGAGGCAAUUUUCAGGAAUUCGAAAUGCAGCUAGCACUGUAACACGGCGUACUUUUUCAUGUGUCAUGGACACCAUAAGAAGUAAUUGUUUCCUGUUGAUUUUUAAGUAAACUAUGUUACAGCUACAGAAGAAAGGUGUAUGUGCCUUUUUGGUAUAAUUGAAAACUAAGUCACGGUGAACAAAUUGUAAAGCAAAAAUUUACAAAAGGAGGAAAAGUUGAAUUUAUAUAAUUUGAACAAAUUUUCAUCUAACACAAUGGCGGAAUUGUGUUCAAAAGAUUUAUUUUUUCGAUAUAAAGAUAAAUAAUUUUGCACUUGAUGUUACUCGAUGUAAAUAAUUAUUUAAGAUUCUGCAUAUCGUACUUUUUUAUUUAUGUGUCAGUAGCUGUCGUCAAGACGAUUUCGAUGACACACGAUAGUCCGUUGAAGAUGAUUAUGAAAAAGAUAUUGCAAAUUUUCCAAUUUUUUCCAAAAAUAGCUUUUCUCACGAAUAAAGCCUCGUUUUCGAGGGUUGUUUUACGCUUGCGACUUUUAUUUUUGCACGAGGCGUCACUUUACCGACGAUUGUAUCGUUAGCGUCUUUACGUUGUAUCUUUAGCGUCGCAUCUUAUAUAUACUGGAUGUUCCGAAAUUAGACCGAAGAUAAGAAAUUAGUCCGAAUUUAGACAAACUUCGGGUGCUGAAGGACACCCGAACUUUGUCAAUAAAUCUAUGUCCGUAAAUGAACCAUUUUGGCACUAGAGUGAAUUAUUUACAACAGUUGUUAGAAUACUGACUAUUUACAUCUAGCUUAUAAAUAAAACGCAUAUCGGUCAGUUCGUCAAAAGAAAAAAAUUUUCAUUUUGAAAAUGAAUUUCGAAUAAAUGGUAAAGAAACGCUGUUAUAUUAAAUUCGCGAGUCAUUAACAAACAAUUCUAAUUCUACCCGUUUGAAAAUUUUCAUCAAUCUUCAAUUUGAUAAAGCAAUUUUUUUAUAUAUUAAUGUUUUUAUCAAAAUAAUAAAAAUCGGGACCAGGAAAAAAAUUGCUGAUAUCUCUGCACGGAAAUAAAUGGCCAACACUUCAAACAAGUGCUGCAAAUAAUUCAUUCUAUUACCAAAGCGGCUCAUUUGCGAACAUAGGUUUAUUGACAAAAAUUACUUGUUUUAUCGUUCUUCACAAGUACCUAAAUUUUAUCGUUUUAAUUUCGGCACACCUUGUGUACGUAUAAACAUACAAUAUAUUUUUAUCUCUUAUUUAUAUCCUUCGAAUGUUUGCAAAGAUUCCUUUACCGCCAAUAUUAAAUACUUUUGCGACUAAACGUCUCUUCUGGAGACUUUGCACUUCGACGGUUCAUCGAGGUAUGUAUCCUGCGCGCAAUGCAUUUAUACGUGGAUCGUUCCAAAUGCUGGAUUAUUCUAUAACAGGGCGACGACAUCGAGUCCCACUGAACUAAUGUAGAAUGAUUUAAUGAAACGCCACUAUGAAGUAUAUUAAGGAGACAAAUUUGCCCGUAGUAGGAAGCGUGAAUAUGCACCGACGUAGAUACGAGCGUAGAUACGAGCUACCACGUCAAAGGAGCGCGAUGUUAUGCUGCGCGAACUGCUGAUUACCUUGCUCUAGAUAUCUUGUCUCGUUCCUCUUAAUUUAGAAACGGUCGUGAGAAGUGAGACUUGGUAAUUGCGUGAACAAAAGUUCGUAAUUGCAACUCGCACUCUCUUCGAAAAGUUCUGUUCCGAAAUGCGAUCUUGUGUGUGUGCUGUACGCGCGCGCGCGCGCGCAUGCGAGUAUAUAUCGUCGUGUAUUACUCGUCGUGUAUUACUCAUGCAUAAUUUAAGUCAGGGCGAUGUACAUGUAAUAAAAGAAAAGAAAUCAAUCGACCAGCGUUAUAUUAUAAAGAUUUAUGUAUCGAUGUAUCUUCUUAAUCACACACAUACACCAAAAAUUCGAAAGUGCCCGGUAGAAGAAUCCUGAAGGAUUUUCUUCGGGGAAUUCAUUAGAAAUUUUAACGCCUCUGUUUAAUCAAUACGUUCUCGGAACUCUCAUAACUUUGAAUCAUCACGAAGGAAAGCAAUUCCAGCAGUCCGAGAACUCUACGCCAAUCCACGAUAGAAAAAAUAUGAAUCUCGAAACGGAGAAAUCCCGCUGAACGAGAUGUGGAAGUUCCUUGACAUAUCGUUGAAAUAAAACGAGAACGAACGCAUAUAAUACGCGCGUACAAUGUAAUUUAAUUCGUACAGACUCUUGGGCGCUGUUCAAAUUUGAGCUUUAUCUAUUAGCACUCUGGAUUUGCAAAUUUUUUUGAAUGUCACUCAAUUAAUGUCUUCAAACAUCGCUCCACAAUCCAGUAACACAAUUGGAACUGCGGGAUUUCGAGUUUUUCAGUUCCACCGAGGAAUCACUCUGUAAUUGCACAAGUUGUGAAAAUAUCGCAGGGCUUCGUGUGUUUCAUUCUAUCUCGUGAUGAGUUUUUGCUUUAAAAAAUACCGACAGUAUGUCGAAGGAGACGUAUUAAGCGAAAAUUCGAAUUCGUGAUGUACACGCGGUUAUAGGAGUUUUUUCUUUUCUGUUUUUGCACGCGGAUGGAACACUCAUAUAUCUGUCGGAAUUAAGCGUACAAUAGUGUAGUACGUUUUAUUGCGAGCCCUCCGCAAGUGGCAAUUUCGUUAUAAAGCUAUGGCGCGGUAUCGCCGCACCGGGCUAGUAUAGAUUUUCACGGUGUAUAUCGGGGAUGUUUAAGGCUCUUGGAUCAUAUAUCAAGCACGUAUAUCCGCUAUGUAAACGCGGUAUACUUGAGGAAGUAAUGUCGGAACCGAACGUACACCUCUGGGCAAACUCGAGGCUUAUUGCUUCCCGUUACCCGGUAAACGGUAAACAAGAUUGAUCUAAGGGAGUUUCGGAAAACAAAUUUCGCGCCGACGGUUUAUGUUGAACUUUAUUCCCGACGUACUUUACAGUGAUCCUAAUGUUAUCCUUGCAAUAAAGCAUCGCGAAUAAAUAUAUAUAUAUAUAUAUAUCAUUCUGGAUUAGAAAUGAAAAUAAUCCGACGGUAACUUACUCAGCAAUUUACGGCAAAUUUCUCGGUAAUUUUUGAAAACUGUUAAAAUGGCAAUUUUAUGAAAAAAAAAUUACAGAAAUAAAACAAUUUUUAUUUGAAGCCCAAAAGGAGCAUUUAGUUUUUAACAUGAGUAAAACACUUUAUUUAACUAAUAUUUUCAAUAAAAUAUUUUGA